rnacentral:rRNA from 1 species
UACGUAGGUCCCGAGCGUUGUCCGGAUUUACUGGGUAUAAAGGGUGCGUAGGCGGUUUUGUGCGUCAGAGGUGAAAGGUCAGUGCUUAACAUUGAUACUGCCUUUGAAACGGCGGAACUUGAGUAUGAGAGAGGUUUGUAGAAUUCCUGGUGUAGCGGUGAAAUGCGUAGAUAUCAGGAGGAAUACCGGCGGCGAAGGCGGCAAACUGGCUCAUAACUGACGCUGAGGCACGAAAGCGUGGGGAUCAAACAGGAUUAGAUACCCUGGUAGUCCACGCCUUAAACGAUGUAUGCUUGGUGUUGGUGCAGUGAUGCAUCAGUGCCGUAGGAAAUCUGAUAAGCAUACCACCUGGGGAGUACGAUCGCAAGGUUGAA